UCCAUACUUAGAUCAGUAUGAGUUGGUAUAUAAAAUUCUGGUGGGUGGAAAAAGAAUUUGGAAACACUAGUAUAGAAUUUAUUAUGACGCUGUUGUCUAAGGGCGUUUGUCAGACCGUAGAAUUUCUUCGUGGAGUUAUACAUUGCUUUCCGUCUUUUCUCUCUACAGCAAUCAAACAGUGGUGGACCUGAGCUGGAUCCAAACAGACUUCUGCUACAAUGCAGUCUCCGUGCUUAUUGCUGCAGGAGAAAGUACGGGAUGAAAUCUUGCAAAGGAUUCAGAGAAGAUUUAAUCUAAUUAUGAGAAAUGAAACGUUGGACUUAGACUACAUCCUAGAUGUUGCUCAGCAAGAGCUUUGCUUGGCAACAAUGGCUUCACAACACCUCAGCAUCCCGCUAGAACUUAUUAGAAGUCUAUAGGAAUUAAUCAACAUCUUACCUGUUCAGUCUGCUGAAGGAGCAUCAGUUAUUGUGUCAGAAAUUGUAACUACCACUGUGGGGAACCUGGGACGGCCACGCCUUGAAAUGAACAGAGAUGAUCUUGAAAGCAUCCUUUCCACUGCACUUCCUUUAGAACAUUUAGCCAAUUUGUAUGGGGUUUCUAGAUGAACACUUAAUAGGCGGAUGAAAGAACAUGGCCUCUCUGUCCGGGGAUGCUACUCCAAAAUAUCUGAUAAUGAACUUGAUCAAAUUGUGAGGUCCAUAAAAUCCAGAAAGCCAGCAGCGAAACUGAAAAACCAGUGAAAACGUAAAACGGGGCGGAGUGACUGAAAAGCCAGCAGCGAAACUGAAAAACCAGUGAAAACGUAAAACGGGGCGGAGUGACUGAAAAGCCAGCAGCGAAACUGAAAAACCAGUGAAAACGUAAAACGGGGUGGAGUGACUGAAAACCAGCAGCGAAACUGAAAGGUAUGUCUAGAAAGAUUUUAUAUCUUGACGCUGCUGCUAACGACAAAGCCUCAACUGCGUACUCGUUCUUCUUGGAUGGUGUCUGCAAACAUGGCCCUCAAGAGUACGUGGUGACCAGGGUGUGGAAAAUGUGGAUAUUGCCCGGUGCAUGUUUUCUGUACGACGAACUGGACGCAGUAGCUUUGUUGCUGGCAAAAGCGUCCACAAUCAAAGGUAAAACCAAUCAGUACAGAACUUGAUAUGAUUACUGUCCUUGUCUGCAUGCUUGAUCAAUAUAGUAACCCCCCCCCCCUUCCAAUACAUUCUUAGAAUAGAGAGAUUGGGGUGUGAUGUGUGGUCAGCAGUCACCUGUACAUACUACGAUGUACUGCACACACUGGAAGAGGAACACCUGAUUGAUAUCUCCGAUGAGAUGCACCUCUUUUGUGUGCAUUAUGUGUUUCUCCCUCGCCUGAAGUCUGACCUGGAGCAUUUCAUGGGUAGCUGGAACAGGCACCCUCUCAGAACUGAAGGCAACUUAUCUCCAGAGCAGCUGUGGCACAUUGGAAUGCUUCAAACACCCGUGGCUGAGCCAGAUAUUGAGGUACAUCACCAAAUUUGCAAAUCACUCAACUCAUUAAUACUUUUUAAGCAAGUGUCCCCUAAAUAUCACUUCAAAUGGCCUGUAGCAGUUAGCAAUAUGAUCAGUCAGUUGGUGUCUGGAAGGACUUGACUAAGGUUAAUAUUAUUUUAUCUUGGGGAAACAAGUUUGAUUGUGCUCAUUAUCAAAUUGUGAAAACCCAAGGAUUAGAUAAGGGACGGGGAACUUGAUUCAUGUAUAAUCUGUAUGGGUGCUUUUUGGGUGACCUCUUAAGCCAAUAAGUGUCCAGAGCUAGGGGAGGAGCUUUUACAGCAGGUUUAUUGGGGUGACUUUUCAAAAACCUGCACCUACAAUUGCCCACCCUUGAUCAGGUUCUCCACCUGGGGUACAGGAAUUAAUAUUUCUAUGGUGAAUGUAACUGUCUUUCGGCCACUGGAGAAUCUAUUCCAGGAGGGCUGGACUGAUGUUGACCAACAGGAUGGAGUAGUGGUGUCAGAGAUCCCAUGUCCCCUCUCAGACCAGAACCUUGCUGUACUUGAAGGAUUGAUAAAUCCCAUUACCUCACCCUUGCCUCAUAAAGAGCUUUAUAUGCAGACUCUAAAUCUGGUGCAAAGACUACUAUAAGAAGGAAGACCCGAGCAGCAAGAAUUGUUUUAAUACAGAUUUUAAGAAAUUUAUGUCAUGGAUUGUGUAUAACAGAUUGUUUAUUAGUAACAGGCUACAACUGUGACAGUUUACAUUUAAUAUCAGUUUCACAGUUUUGCAUUAAGAACUGUUUUUAAUUGGUUGUAAAUGUUAAAUUGUAAAGAAGCUGUACAUUAAAACCUGAAAUCCUUAACUAAUACAUUUACAGCCUGUGAAAGCCUGCACCACAUUUGAUUGCUGUUGCCACAUUGUUUUUGAAAUCUGAGUAAUGCACACAAUGUGCAGUGGGAAAUGUGAUGGCCUGUGCACAUGCACUAACAACUGGAUAACAAAUGGUGUGGCUUGGCAUCCUUUCCAUACACGUGUGGUCGAAGUGUACUGUGAUUUUAAAGUUCUCUCUCUCUGAAAGAAGUAGGUGCCUGUGUGACUGGCCAGUCAACCACUGCAUCACUUCAGGGACAGAAAGGGCAUCCUCAGCAGUUCCGUCUAGGCCCUGUAUAGCCACAGCUGAUAAUCUGUUCUGUGCAAGAUGACAGAUCUGAAGAUUCCUCAACCUGAAGGAAAUCAAUAAGAAAACAUUCUAAACAUAUAGUUUUACACCAUCACUGAGUAACAGUAGCCAUUGUUAUUUAAAUAAGGAAUAGUUUAAUCAUGAAUUAAUGUUAAGUGAAUUGAUUUACCAAUGACUUGACUAUUGUCUAAAAGUUAAGUAAUUAACAAUGUAAUUGCUUAACAACUGUAUUAUUAUCAAUGUACCAUCUUGAUCAAAGAUGAAAAUUCCAUGUCAUGUACAUCGUUUCUUGUAAUGUUUUUUAGAUCUCCCGUCAAAAGGAAAUCGUAGCACCAUUCUUGUAAAAACGCUGGUGCUGGACCACCCUGUGCAAGACUUGCAGCAAAAAUUUCCCCAGCAACACUGGAAUGAGAGUGAAAGAAAAGACAAAUGCUUAUUACUUUUUCUUAGAAUACUAAUUACUAACAUUAUUCCUACCGAAUUAGUAUGUCUGGAUGCACGAUUUCUACAAGUGAUGGAUACAAUAUAAGAAACUUACCGGAAAAUGCCACUGUCAAGGUCAUUUAAAGAGUAUUUGGGCAUUUUUCCCUUGCCAUCCUCUCCCUCGAAAAGCAGAGUUUCUAAGCCAGCAACCAUCUCUAAGGAAAUUAUGAAAUAAAACAUUUCAGGCACCCUUGUGAUAUUAUUAAAGAUCAACACUUACCACAAACACACACUUGAAGUAGUUUUGUGAUGAUCUGCAUGUCAUUAAAAAAUUUAAAUUAA